rnacentral:rRNA from 1 species
AGCAGCCGCGGUAAUUCCAGCUCCAAUAGCGUAUAUUAAAGUUGUCGCAGUUAAAAGCUCGUAGUUGAACUUCAGGCCUGUCCAGACGGUCCGCCUUAAUUGGUGUGUACUGUCCUUGGGUGGGUCCUACCUUCUGGCGAAGCGGCAUGGCCUUAGUUGGUUGUGUUGGGGAACCAGGACUUUUACUGUGAAAAAUUGAGUGUUCAAAGCAGGCAAAUAUGCUCGAAUACAUUAGCAUGGAAUAAUGGAAUAGGACGAUGGUUCUAUUUUGUUGGUUCUAGGACCGUUGUAAUGAUUAAUAGGGAUAGUUGGGGGCAUUAGUAUUCAAUUGUCAGAGGUGAAAUUCUUGGAUUUAUUGAAGACUAACUACUGCGAAAGCAUUUGCCAAGGAUGUUUUCAUUAAUCAAGAACGAAAGUUAGGGAUCGAAGACGAUCAGAUACCGUGUAGUC